rnacentral:lncRNA from 1 species
CGAGAGAGCACCUGCGGGACUGGGCACCAUAGUAGGAAAGCGGUCAGCUGGUCGGGGAGAGCUCCCCACACCGAAGACGCUAUGUCCUGGCCAGGAAGCCACCCAGCUGGAUGAGGGUUGCCUGUGCCCUGAGAGUUCACAUGCACACCUGUGAAGAGCAGUGGCAUCGAAAGAGCCAGAGGCAGAAAAAGACCCAGUGUCCAUCACAGACAAAUGGGGAGAACCAUUUUGCUGCAUGUGUGGAGUAGUAUGCAGCCAUAAAAAGGAGGGAUGCCGUUACAGGCUGCGCUGUGCAUGAAUCCCCAAAACUUGCUCAGAGAAAGAACUCUCAGCCAAAAGCCACAUACUAAAUGAUUCCCUACAUAAAUUCCAUAUAAGAAACAUCCAGAAUGGUGAAAAUAUUUUGGAAAUAGAGGUGCUAAUUAUGCACCUUUUUUUGGUUUGUUUUUGGUACUGGGGAUUGAACCUAGGGCCUUCUCAAUGAGCUACAUCCCCAUCCCUUUUUUUUUUUUUUUGGUACCAGGGAUCGAACUCGGGUCCUUGCGCUUGCAAGGCAGGCAGUAGAACCACUGAGCUAAAUCCCUGGCUCUCCCCAUCCCUUUUUAAAAAUUUAUUUUGAGAUCUAAGUUGCUAAGUUGCCCAGCUGCUCAGGCUGGGCUUGAACUUGUGACCCUCCUGCUUCAGCCUCCUAGAGUGCUGGGGUUAUAAGCAUGCGCCACACACCUGGGAGCACAUGUUCUGAAUGUACUAAACGUCACUGAAUUCUGCACAUUAAAAGGGCUUAUUUUAUGUGAGUUGCACUUCAAUAAAAAAGAAAAGCAUCACGUUGGCCUCCACUGUGUGGUGGCAGACAUGAGGCGCAGAGGGCCGGGAAGACAGGCUAUGUGAUCCGAGCCCACGCCAUCAGCGAGGCCUGUGGUGAGGGAGUUCCCACCCAGGCAAGGGAAGGAGAGGCUUGGGGUCUGGUGCAGAGCUCAGAGAACCUGCUGCGGCAUGAGGGCAGAGGCCCAGCCCAAAGGCCCCCAGUCAGCACGGCCUGCACCCUGAAAACCAGGGGGAAGGGGUGAGGCCAGGCUCCUGACCCCAGCAGUGAGGUCCACAGGUCCAGCUCAACCUCAAAAGGAGGACCCUGCCCAGGGGCGCAGCCAUAGCACCUCCCGGGCCCCUCCCUGGUCCUUCCAGCUGCAGAGGUUAGGGUUGGGCCAGAGAGGGGCAGCACCAGGC